AGGACGAACGCUGGCGGCGUGCCUCAUACAUGCAAGUGGAGCGACGAACCAGGAUUUAUCCUGGGGCAAAGCCGCGAACGGGUGAGUAACACGUGGGUUACCUGCCCCGAUGAUUGGGACAACCCGAGGAAACUCGGGCUAAUACCAAAUGUGUUCUUGGUCGUGAUGACCAAGAAGAAAGGAAGCCUCGGCCUCCGCAUCGGGAUGGGCCCGCGGCCCAUUAGCUAGUUGGUGGGGUAAUGGCCUACCAAGGCGACGAUGGGUAGCUGGUCUGAGAGGACGAUCAGCCACACUGGGACUGAGACACGGCCCAGACUCCUACGGGAGGCAGCAGUAGGGAAUCUUGCGCAAUGCGCGAAAGCGUGACGCAGCAACGCCGCGUGGGGGAAGAAGGCUCUCGGGUUGUAAAGCCCUUUCGACGGGGACGAUGAUGACGGUACCCGUAGAAGAAGCCCGGCUAACUCGUGCCAGCAGCCGC
rnacentral:rRNA from 1 species